GACGAACGCUGGCGGCGUGCCUAACACAUGCAAGUCGAACGGAAAGGCCCUGCUUUUGUGGGGUGCUCGAGUGGCGAACGGGUGAGUAACACGUGAGUAACCUGCCCUUGACUUUGGGAUAACUUCAGGAAACUGGGGCUAAUACCGGACAGGAUCUCCUGCUGCAGGGUGGGGGUUGGAAAGUUUCGGCGGUUGGGGAUGGACUCGCGGCUUAUCAGCUUGUUGGUGGGGGAGUGGCUUACCAAGCCUUUGACGGGUAGCCGGCCUGAGAGGGUGGACGGGGACAUGAGGACUGAGAGAGGCCGCAGAGUACAACGGGAGGCAACAGUGGGAAAUAUUACACAAUGGGCGGAAGCCUGUUGAGGCAGCGCCCCGUGCGGGAUGACCGCAUUCGGGUUGUAAACCGCUUUAGCCUGUGACGAAGCGUGAGUGACGGUAAUGGGUAAAGAAGCACCGGCUAACUACGUG
rnacentral:rRNA from 1 species